rnacentral:rRNA from 1 species
CACGUAGGGCGCAAGCGUUGUCCGGAAUUAUUGGGCGUAAAGAGCUCGUAGGCGGUCUGUUGCGUCCGCUGUGAAAACUCGGGGCUUAACCCCGCAGCCUGCAGUGGAUACGGGCAGACUAGAGGUAGGUAGGGGAGAAUGGAAUUCCCGGUGUAGCGGUGAAAUGCGCAGAUAUCGGGAGGAACACCGGUGGCGAAGGCGGUUCUCUGGGCCUUACCUGACGCUGAGGAGCGAAAGCGUGGGGAGCGAACAGG